rnacentral:lncRNA from 1 species
AAAUAUCUUUUAGUUAUAGUAAAUAAAAUUGCAAUUUAUUGAUUAGGGAUAAGUUUAGAGGUAGUGGCUAGAUUGUCAUUAACACAUAAGUAAAGUUUAAAUCCUGAUAUUUGGGCAUAAAAUUAGGAGAUUGCUGUUAUAUGAAAACUUUAUCUUAUGGUUGAGAUAUUUACUUGAUCAACAAACAAGAGUCGAUAAUAAUCUAUAAAUAUGAGAUUUUCCUCUUUCACUUCUUCACAC